AAAAGAGUCACACAAAGCAAGCUCUCUAGCAUGUAUUCUUAUAAGGGCACUAACCCCAUUAUGAGGGCCCCACUCUCAUGACCUCUAAACUUCAUUACCUCCCAAAGAUCCCAUCUCUAAACAGCAUCACACUGGGUGGUCAGGACUUGAAUAUAUAAAGGAGGUGGGGGACACCAUUCAGUCCAUAGAAAAAUGCUUCUCAUCUCUAUCUUUAAUACCUUCACUCUCUAACACAAUUGGAAACCUCCCCAGGGGCUCCAUGAACCGUGGCUGCAGGCUCUCAGGUACUCUAUCCCAGGACCACAAGGAGUUAGUUUGAUAUUUCCACCAAUGGAGGGUAUCAGGCUCUCAUUAAGCCAUUGUAAAAUGGAUGUAAUAAAACGACUGUUUUCUAAGAUUAUUGUAACAAUAAAAAUAUUUGUUAAAACUA
rnacentral:antisense_RNA from 1 species